AUGUGUUAGAGGCUUCAUACAGAAAUACUCAAGUCUAAAUGAACACAAUAUGUUUUGGUCAAAAGUGACACCCAACAUUUCAUAAUUUAGCCUACACAUACCUUCAUGCAUACAUGUGCACAUAGUCACGAGCACGUGACGUGCACGUGGCCAGUACAGUAGAUAGGGCUAGAAGUCCAUGUAGAAAAUAAUCCAAAAUGUAUGGAAUAAAAUUGAUAAAAUCUAAAAAAAAUAUACUGUACAUAUGAUAUAAUAUAUAGUAUAUAUGUUUAUUUCAAUAUAAUAAUAAUUAUAUGAAGAAUACAUAAUUAAAAAUAUUAAAUAUGGAGCCAUGUGCACACAGGUACAUGCACAAACUUACAAGUCCAUAUCCAAACAAUAAAAAAAAACAUACUAGAAAAUGGAUAGCAUAUGAACAAAUAUUAUGUACAUAUUAUGUAUGUACAAUAUUAUAUAAUAUAAUAUAUAAUAGAAAUAUAGAUAUAAUAGAAAGAC